GACCCUCGGCAAUGGAUAUCUCGGCUCUCGCGUCGAUGAAGAAUGUAGCAAAAUGCGAUACUUGGUGUGAAUUGCAGAAUCCCGUGAACCAUCGAGUCUUUGAACGCAAGUUGCACCCCAAGCCUUCUGGCCGAGGGCACGUCUGCAUGGGUGUCA
rnacentral:rRNA from 1 species